rnacentral:rRNA from 1 species
UACGGGGGGGGCAAGCGUUGUUCGGAAUUACUGGGCGUAAAGGGCUCGUAGGCGGCCAACUAAGUCAGACGUGAAAUCCCUCGGCUUAACCGGGGAACUGCGUCUGAUACUGGAUGGCUUGAGGUUGGGAGAGGGAUGCGGAAUUCUAGGUGUAGCGGUGAAAUGCGUAGAUAUCUGGAGGAACACCGGUGGCGAAGGCGGCAUCCUGGACCAAUUCUGACGCUGAGGAGCGAAAGCCAGGGGAGCAAACGGG